UGGAGGGGUGUUAGCCCCGGGCCUGCCGCCUUUUCUGGUGGGGGCCAGGAGCUCUAGUCACAGCCCGGGGGGACUGUGUUGUGGUAGGCACAGCGUAGCUUUCCAGUCUGCCCUGUUCAUAUCUCUUCAGUUUCUCUCUCCUCCACCGCAAGCUUUUCCUUUGCCAUCACAUGACUUCAAGGCUGUCUAGUUUCCUGGGCUGUCAGCAUGGCUUUUUCUGUUCCCUUUGAUCUAGCAGUGAGGCUUGCCUUCCAGCCCUCCCUCCAGCUGCACAGUGCUUUUCCAUGUGUCAUGCUUGUGUAUAGCGCUUGCCUUCAGCAUAUUUACUAACAGCACUAAGGGGUCUCCUGUGGCAGUCUUCCCAAAGACACAUUUCUGCAGUCAUUUUUUAAAAUGAAAUACCGUUUAUCUAAAAGGAUGUGGCUAGUUGGAUAGGCCCAGUAUUGCUCUCAAGAGGAACACUUGGAACAUAUAAAGAUAAGAAAAACUGUACAAGAAGCCAUUUCUGACCUCAUUAUCACUUUGUGUUUGCAUGGGCAGUCAGAAGACACCUGCAACAUGAGGCAGUGGCAUUUACAUCCUGCUCCUGCCCUGCUGCCAGAACUGCUGGUGAAACACCCACCACCAAUACACGGCUGCCACAGAGCGUGCCCACCCGUAUGCUUCUGGUGGUGAUGGCUCUGCAUGGCUUCACCCAGCAGCUCUGCUGCUGAACUAUGAUGUGCGCUUCAUGGGGGCACCUGCUGCUGAAUGAGCUGUGGCAGGCAAUUCUAGAGGGAAGCUAGGAGCUGCUGCUGUGAAACAAGAGUGGAGCCUUGAAGGGAUGGAAGAUGUUCCACGGAGGAUCUGUAUUGUGCUACAUCAUCUGUUUGGACUACGGAUGUCCUGACCGGGGAUGGAUUUUAGGGGGAGAUGAUUGGAGAGUCCAGUAACAACACCCCAACACCACCACCGCCAAUAGAGGACUUGGGUCAUCCUGGAAUAGUGACAACUCCUAGUCUCUUUAUCCAUUUCACUAAGGCUCUCCUUGCCAAAUAGGCCUGUCCCUGAGUGCAGAUGCACAAAUCUCUGCAGAUUAAUACAAUUCAUCCAGUUUUGGCUUUGGAUAGGAGCUGAAACUCACCCUCCACUGAGUAGAGAAGCAAUAAUCA